rnacentral:rRNA from 1 species
AGAGUUUGAUCCUGGCUCAGGAUGAACGCUGGCGGCAUGCCUAAUACAUGCAAGUCGAACGAGAGGAAGGAAAGCUUGCUUUCCUAAAUCUAGUGGCGAACGGGUGAGUAACACGUAGGUAACCUGCCCAUGUGCCCGGGAUAACUUCUGGAAACGGAUGCUAAAACCGGAUAGGUAGCAGACAAGCAUUUGACUGCUAUUAAAGUGGCUAAGGCCAUGAACAUGGAUGGACCUGCGGUGCAUUAGCUAGUUGGUGAGGUAACGGCCCACCAAGGCGACGAUGCAUAGCCGGCCUGAGAGGGCGGACGGCCACAUUGGGACUGAGACACGGCCCAAACUCCUACGGGAGGCAGCAGUAGGGAAUUUUCGUCAAUGGGGGGAACCCUGAACGAGCAAUGCCGCGUGAGUGAGGAAGGUCUUCGGAUCGUAAAGCUCUGUUGUAAGAGAAAAACGGCACUCAUAGGGAAUGAUGAGUGAGUGAUGGUAUCUUACCAGAAAGUCACGGCUAACUACGUGCCAGCAGCCGCGGUAAUACGUAGGUGGCGAGCGUUAUCCGGAAUGAUUGGGCGUAAAGGGUGCGUAGGUGGCAGAUCAAGUCUGGAGUAAAAGGUAUGGGCUCAACCCGUACUUGCUCUGGAAACUGAUCAGCUAGAGAACAGAAGAGGACGGCGGAACUCCAUGUGUAGCGGUAAAAUGCGUAGAUAUAUGGAAGAACACCGGUGGCGAAGGCGGCCGUCUGGUCUGGAUUCUGACACUGAAGCACGAAAGCGUGGGGAGCAAAUAGGAUUAGAUACCCUAGUAGUCCACGCCGUAAACGAUGAGAACUAGGUGUUGGGGGAAUAACUCAGUGCCGCAGUUAACGCAAUAAGUUCUCCGCCUGGGGAGUAUGCACGCAAGU